AUUAUCUAUCAGUUACCCUAACCCUGCUACAGGCUACUGAAUAUUCAAGUCCUGACCCUGCUAUAGGCUACUGAAUAUUCAGUCUUUACCCUAACCCUGCUACAGGCUACUGAAUAAUCAAGUCCUAACCCUGCUAUAGGCUACUGAAUAUUCAGUCCUGACCCUGCUAUAGGCUACUGAAUAUUCAGUCCUGACCCUGCUAUAGGCUACUGAAUAUUCAGUCCUGACCCUGCUAUAGGCUACUGAAUAUUCAGUCCUGACCCUGCUAUAGGCUACUGACUUUUCAGUCGUGACCCUGCUAUAGGCUACUGAAUAUUAUUCAGUCGUGACCCUGCUAUAGGCUACUGAAUAUUCAGUCCUGACCCUGCUAUAGGCUACUGAAUAUUCAGUCCUGACCCGCUAUAGGCUACUGAAUAUUCAGUCCUGACCCUGCUAUAGGCUACUGAAUAUUCAGUCCAUACCCUAACCCUGCUAUAGGCUACUGAAUAUUCAGUCCUGACCCUGCUAUAGGCUACUGAAUAUUCAGUCCUUACCCUAACCCUGCUACAGGCUAGUGAAUAUUCAGUCCUGACCCUGCUAUAUGCUACUGAAUAUUCUGUCCUGACCCUGCUAUAGGCUACUGAAUAUUCAGUCCUGACCCUGCAGCUGAUUAUAGUUACUACUUAAUAUAAUAUGAUAAUAAGACUGCAUUCAUGAUGAAUGUUCAGUUCAGUCAGUUCAAUCAGAAAUGACCUUUAAAAUGGCACAUAGCUGACAAAGCGCUGGGAUUGAAUCCUGGUCUCAGUCUCAUGCUUGGUUUGAGUAGGACUCAGAAACCCAUUUCCACCAGAUAAAAGAGAGAUAGUAAUACUAUGGAUGCAUUAGAGGUACAUGUCUUGUUAAAGUUAGACACCAGGAGGUAUUAAAUCCAUGGCAUGAUGUCUUGUCUGGAUCCUGCACACUACUGGCUGGUGGCUGGAAUUCUCCUAGAAUGUAGAACUCUAGCUGGUGUUCUCUAGAACUGUACUCUCAUUCUGUUCCUCUGGGUGUUCUGCUGUCCAGUCAUUCCAAAAUAGAAUCUUUACUGUCUGUUGAGAUGAUCCCUGCAGCUGCUUGGUUUUAACUUUAAUCAUCACAAACCAAUAAAAUCAUCACACUAAUGAACAAGGUCGUCUGUGUAUUUAUUAACAUUCAUAAGACAAAACUUAAGACACAAACACACACAAAUAUACAUGGGAACAAUCAAUAUAGAUUGAUUUGUGUUUAUUUAUCAAGACAUACUGUAUUUAUAAUUUCAUUCAGCUAGGCCUAAUUGUAGUGUUACGACCUUUGUCAUCCACACACGUUUCUUUUCAGAUCCCAAUACUGCCCCUGUGUGGCCGUUGGAUGUAAAUACACAACCCAUUACAAACUAUUAAUCCACUUUCCACAUUUUACAGCUCUUGUACUUUCUGCAUUCAUAACAAC
ensembl:lncRNA